UACGGAGGGUGCAAGCGUUAUCCGGAUUCACUGGGUUUAAAGGGAGCGUAGGUGGCUUUGUAAGUCAGUGGUGAAAUCUUAGAGCUUAACUCUAAACUGCCAUUGAUACUGCUUAGCUUGAAUCACGUCGAGGUGGAUGGAAUAUUACAUGUAGCGGUGAAUGCUUAGAUAUGUAAUAGAACACCGAUUGCGAAGGCAGUUCACUAGGCGUGUAUUGACACUGAGGCUCGAAGCGUGGAUCAACAGG
rnacentral:rRNA from 1 species